rnacentral:rRNA from 1 species
GACGAACGCUGGCGGCGUGCCUAAUACAUGCAAGUAGGACGCAGUUGCGAACGGGUGAGUAACGAGUAGGUAACUACCUAUUAGAGGGGGAUAACUAUUGGAAACGAUAGGUAAUACCGCAUACUAGUAGAUGGCCCUGCGUUGUAUUAGCUAGUAGGUCGGUUAAUGGCCUACCUAGGCAACGGAACAUAGCCGAGCCUGAAGGGGUAUUGGGCACACCGGGACUGAAGCCCGGCCCCAACCCCCACGGGAGGCAGGAGAUGGGGAUCAUCCGGAAUGGUGGGAACCCAGACCGAGCAACGGCGCGUGAGGGAAGAAGGGUUUCGGGUCCUAAAGCCCCUUUGUUAAGGAAGCGGUACUUAACCAGAAAGGGACGGCUAACUACGUGCCAGCAGCCGCGGUAAUUC